AAAGCAGGGGAGCCGGUUUUGGCUGAGAGGAUGCCGUUUUGCAUCGACCCUUCACCUGAUCUGGAUAAUGCCAGCGUAGGGAGUCUCAUAUU
rnacentral:ncRNA from 1 species